AAGGUACAGACCCAAUCGCGUUAAACGACUUAUUAAAGAGCAUAAACUUAGCGCAUCAUGGAAUCUUACCUUCGGUUGGGGCGACCACGGAGGAAAAAGCAGCCUCCGAGUGGACCGGGAAUAAAUCCUAGAGUUAAGAGCUACACCUCUAAACCACAGAACAUCUGACCAAGCAUGAUCCGGACAUAAGUCCGAUCAACGAACCAAGUUACCCUAGGGAUAACAGCGCAAUCCUCUCCCAGAGUCCAUAUCGACGAGGGGGU
rnacentral:rRNA from 1 species